UACAUAUAUGGGCAAAGCUGUUGUGAAGCAGCGACGCAAAGCCAUGGGUCUUCUUAGUUAAGAUUGCCAGGUUGCACUU
rnacentral:ncRNA from 1 species